rnacentral:misc_RNA from 1 species
ACUUAUUGCACCAUACUUUCCUCAACUACCAUUUGUCACGUGAUAAGAAAAUGAACCUUGGGCGUAACUCAGCUCCUUAAACAAGCUUACGUCCACAUUUCUCAUCGAUCACAACCGAUGCGGGGAUACUGAAACUACAUAAAAGUAAAUCUUACUGAAUGUUUUAGCUGUGAUGGAGUAAAAGCUUCCAGUCAACUCAUCGUCUUUGAUUUGCUUGGCAAACAAAAGGCUAGCCUAUGAUCACGCAGUUUGUUUGCGUUCGAACCCAGCUCCAGGGUCAUCAUCACAGGGGACGACAUCUAGUCCAGUGACAAUAGCAGAUGAUGGACCCCUCCGACACCUCUGCUCCAUUUCCUGAACUUUUUCCGGGCUUCCAGAAAACAAAGCUUCCACCGAUCCAUCCCUCCGAUUUCGAACCCAACCUUUCAAUCCCAAUUCCUUAGCAUUCUCCACAGUCCAGUCCCUGUAAAACACCCCUUGCA